UAUAUUAAAUAAUAUUUUAAUCUUCAAAAACCUUAAUUAAUUCAAAUCAUUUUAUUUUAUUGUUUAUUUCAAUUUAGUUUCUCAUUUAAAUUUAUUUCCUCUUAUUUUAAUUAUUUUAUUUUUCUUUCAGGCCGGGAUGUUACAGUUUCGCCAAAAUCUUCCUUGACCAAAACUCAACUCUUAAAUCAUUUAAAUAUUCCAAGGGUAAAAUUGUCUUUUUCUUGAAUAAUUUAAUAUUCAACUAAUAAUUUAGUACCGGGUUGUUACAUCUCAAGUUGUACCAUACUUGGAAAAUCUUAAAAGAUUACCCAAGUGGAAUGAUAUAAAUGAGCCUCCCACACAACGUUCGUUUGGAGCUAGUGCAAGUAUGGUGAAUUUGGAUAAUGACACAAACGAUAUCGCCC
rnacentral:lncRNA from 1 species